GAAUAUUGGACAAUGGGCGAAAGCCUGAUCCAGCCAUGCCGCGUGUGUGAAGAAGGUCUUCGGAUUGUAAAGCACUUUAAGUUGGGAGGAAGGGCAGUAAGCGAAUACCUUGCUGUUUUGACGUUCCCCACAUAAUAAGCCCCGUCUACCUCUUUGCCAGCAGCCGCGGUAAUACCGAGGGUGCCAGCGUUAAACGGAAUUACUGGGCGUAAAGCGAGCGUAGGUGGUUCGUUAAGUUGGAUGUGAAAUCCCCGGGCUCAACCUGGGAACUGCAUCCAAAACUGGCGAGCUAGAGUAGGGCAGAGGGUGGUGGAAUUUCCUGUGUAGCGGUGAAAUGCGUAGAUAUAGGAAGGAACACCAGUGGCGAAGGCGACCACCUGGGCUCAUACUGACACUGAGGUGCGAAAGCGUGGGGAGCAAACA
rnacentral:rRNA from 1 species